rnacentral:rRNA from 1 species
GCUAAACGCGAAGAACCUUACCUGGCCUUGACAUGUCCGGAAUUCUGCAGAGAUGCGGAAGUGCCUUCGGGAAUCGGAACACAGGUGCUGCAUGGCUGUCGUCAGCUCGUGUCGUGAGAUCUUGGGUUAAGUCCCGUAACGAGCGCAACCCUUGUCCUUAGUUACCAGCACGUUAUGGUGGGCACUCUAAGGAGACUGCCGGUGACAAACCGGAGGAAGGUGGGGAUGACGUCAAGUCAUCAUGGCCCUUACGGCCUGGGCUACACACGUGCUACAAUGGUCGGUACAGAGGGUUGCCAAGCCGCGAGGUGGAGCUAAUCUCACAAAACCGAUCGUAGUCCGGAUCGCAGUCUGCAACUCGACUGCGUGAAGUCGGAAUCGCUAGUAAUCGCGAAUCAGAAUGUCGCGGUGAAUACGUUCCCGGGUCUUGUACACACCG